GGUAACGGCUCACCAAGCCUUCGAUGGCUAGGGGUUCUGAGAGGAAGGUCCCCCACAUUGGAACUGAGACACGGUCCAAACUCCUACGGGAGGCAGCAGUGAGGAAUAUUGGUCAAUGGGCGCGAGCCUGAACCAGCCAAGUAGCGUGAAGGAUGACUGCCCUAUGGGUUGUAAACUUCUUUUAUAUUAGAAUAAAGUGCAGUAUGUAUACUGUUUUGUAUGUAUAAUAUGAAUAAGGAUCGGCUAACUCCGAGCCAGCAGCCGCGGUAAUACGGAGGAUCCGAGCGUUAUCCGGAUUUAUUGUGUUUAAAGGGAGCGUAGGUGGACUGGUAAGUCAGUUGUGAAAGUUUGCGGCUUAACCGUAAAAGUGCAGUUGAUACUGUCAGUCUUGAGUACAGUAGAGGUGGGCGGAAUUCGUGGUGUAGCGGUGAAAUGCUUAGAUAUCACGAAGAACUCCGAUUGCGAAGGCAGCUCACUGGACUGCAACUGACACUGAUGCUCGAAAGUGUGGGUAUCAAACAGGAUUAGAUACCCUGGUAGUCCACGCAGUAA
rnacentral:rRNA from 1 species